CCUACGGGUGGCUGCAGUGGGGAAUAUUGGACAAUGGGGGCAACCCUGAUCCAGCCAUGCCGCGUGUGUGAUGAAGGCCCUCGGGUUGUAAAGCACUUUCAGUGAGGAAGAACGCCUGGUGGUUAAUACCCAUCAGGAAAGACAUCACUCACAGAAGAAGCACCGGCUAACUCCGUGCCAGCAGCCGCGGUAAUACGGAGGGUGCGAGCGUUAAUCGGAAUUACUGGGCGUAAAGCGCGCGUAGGUGGCUUGAUAAGCCGGUUGUGAAAGCCCCGGGCUCAACCUGGGAACGGCAUCCGGAACUGUCAAGCUAGAGUGCAGGAGAGGAAGGUAGAAUUCCCGGUGUAGCGGUGAAAUGCGUAGAGAUCGGGAGGAAUACCAGUGGCGAAGGCGGCCUUCUGGACUGACACUGACACUGAGGUGCGAAAGCGUGGGUAGCAAACAGGAUUAGAUACCCUGGUAGUC
rnacentral:rRNA from 1 species